AUAAAUCCGAUAAAUUAUGACAAAGGGUUGUCACCAAUUUUUCUGAAAAAAAUAGGAAUCUGACACCGGUUAAGUGGUAAAGCAGAGACUUGGGAGCUCUGAGUUACGUCCAAAUAUGGAGGUUCAGGUGCCUGUAAUCUUAGUAGAUAGCAGCGAAGACGAAGGGGUUGCAACCAACGGGAAGAAGAGAAAGUACGAAGAGUACAUACAGAUCUCAGACCUGUCUGGUUUUGACAACCUCAGGGCUAUGAUGGAGGCUGAGGCUUUCAUGAGGAGGAACAGAAGGGAGCGAAGGGAGAGAAAGAAAAUGAAGAAGAAACAAACUGAAAAGAAAACAGAGAAAAUAAUAAUGGUGAAUAAAGAGAAACCUGUGAUCUUGAUAACGGACAGUGAAAGUGAAGAUGCAAAUAAAUUGAAGAAGAGAAAAUAUGAAGAUGAGUACAGAGUGAUUGCAGAUCUGACUGGUUUUGACAACCUCAGAGGUAUGAUGGAGGCUGAGGCUUUCAGGAGGAGGAAGACGAGGAAGAAAAAGAAAAAGAAUGGAAAGGCUUUAUCUUAUGCUCAAGAGGAAGUAUCUGAAACCAAUAUGGCAGAAAGAGCAAAGGAAAUAAUAUCGGGAACCAUGGAGCAAGAAAUAGAAAAUCCUAUGAUUUUGACGGCAAGUAGUAAAGAUGAAGAUGCAAAUAACAUGAAAAAAUUGGAAGAUGAGCAUAGAAUCAUUUCAGAUCUGACUGGUUUUGACAACCUCAGAGCUAUGUACGAGGCAGAGGCUCUCAUGAGGAGGAAGAAGAGGAAGAGGAAGAGGAAGAGGUUGAGAAAAGGGAAACAAAAGAUUGUAUAUCAUGCUCGAAAGGAAGUGUCUGUUGAUGCUACGAAAGAUGAGGGGCAGUCAGCUAGAGUUCAAGCAGCAAAAACAACAGAAGGAUUGGAAGCCGCGUCAGUUGAGGUUGAUAUGGCAAGGGGAGAGAAGCAACCUUUAACAAAUAAAGUUAUAGAAAGUGCAUUGUUAUUGAAAAAAAAAAUGGUUGGGAGAAAUUACAAGAUGGUGUCGCAAAGGCUUCUUCAGAGAUCCAGAUACUUUGAUCCUCCAGAUGGCAGCUGGGACAUUGGUGGCAAUUGUGGAGAUGAAUGUCAUACAAUAGUAAACUAUAAAGUGCAGAAGCAAAAGAGGCCAUGCUUCAUAUGUGCAAGUUUUGAUCAUACUUGGAAAUCUUGCAAACAGCGCCUGGAUUCCUUUGUUUGGAAAGGAAAAGGCCACUCUGCAAAAGGUUGUCUGGACAAUCAAAGUUCUAAUAUUUGUCUAAGAUGCGGGGGUUCAGGGCAUAGCAUGUUUUCAUGUAGGAAUGCGUAUUCCCCAGAUGAUCUCAAGAACAUACAAUGUUAUGUGUGCAACAGUUUUGGUCAUCUCUGCUGUGUGGACUUUCUGGGUAUGCAUCCAAGACAACUUUCUUGUUACACCUGUGGCCAGUCUGGCCAUCCUGGAUCUGAAUGCACAAAGUUCCGUGGAGAAAACAAUCACUCAAAAUCUGCAGCAUUAUGCUACCAGGGUGGAGAGGAGGUCAUUUUGUAGUAAGGACGCACAAAUGAUGUUAAAGUCCAUUUCAACUGAUACCCACUUGUUGAAGUUAUUUGAGUUCUUGUAGAGCGAAGGUUGAUUGUUUUUUACAACAAUCUCCGAUCCACACCAUCACCGUGUCUUCCCGAUUUUUCCAAAAUGAAGAAGAACGAGGAAGGUGGGAAAGCCUGUGGUCAAAAUUCCUCGCAUGGAAAGAUGAACCGAGCAAACGGAUGGAGGAGAUCAAGAAAAGAAUUGAAAGCUUUUCUCCACCACGUACCUCUUCAACAAGCCAAUCAUUGCCCAUAAUAGGAGAGUCCAACGUAGGUUCUGCUGGUAUGAAUUUUAUGCCCCAUAUAAUCAAUGUCGAGGCUACCGAGGACGUCACGAUGCCGCCUGAUUUUUCUGGGGAUAUUUCAAGCCCGGAUGGUCGUGUUGUCAAGGAAGGAGUUGCUGGAAUUCUUGUUGCAGCUAAUCCAAUGUAGUUUGGCGUCAACAACAGGGUUCUACCUAGCAACCAGCUUGAGCCGAAACCGAAGAAGCUGAAGAAUGGGUCCGGUAGGCCAAGGGAGUUCCUGUCUCUCUAUCCAGAAGGAGCUAAAAAUAUCAAGGGGGUGCUGCAAUAGAUUGUGAAGAAGAAAGAAGAAGAGAGGAAGCAAGGGUUGGAAGAGCAUGGAGUAAUUUUUACAAAACCAGAAUUCUUCCUUGGGGAUAAGGAAGAUGUUAGGGGAGAGGGAUGAUACGUUCAAAAUUUUAGGGCUUACAUGACAGUACCGAAUCCCCAAGACAGAAGUGAAUAAGGAGUAGAAUCUCCAUAUAUUAUUUCCCUAAGUGUUUUAGUUAAUAAGGAAUGUAUUUUCCAUUAGUUUAUUUCCUCCUUAGUUUAUAUUCCUGCAUUAUGUUAUGACGGCUAAACCUAAUAGUUAUGUCUUAUGACCUAACUGUCUUCUAUAUAAGUGUAACCCUAAUUAAUAAAAUAGCAUGCUGAAUAUUAUGAAAA